UAUUUUGAAGGGCAAUACAAAAAAACUUGUGCCGGAAGUGAUUCUAUGCGCCUGCGGUCAAUGUGUCUACCUUUAGUUGAUUAAUUUAUGAGCAUCCGAAGUGUACUUUUUCCAAAAUGUCUAAAGUACAGCUGUUGAACCGAGCGAUUAACAGCAGUAGCUGUGGAGUUAUUUGGUACAAUGGAAAAAAAGGUUGCAGAGGAGCAUCAGAAACGAUUAAACAACCGUGGCUGAUAAGAUUUUCAUGGCAGUGGAAAAAACGAUAGCAGAGUAGCGUUACCAGGAUCAGAUCUCCAGUUAAAAAAUGGAGAACGAACGUCUACGGGUAUUUCUUCUGAAGUUUGGAGCAGUAAAUCCAGACUGUUCUGCAGUAAAGAGUGAAAUCAUUAACUCUUGAUGGGGAGGAGAGUGAAGGACUAUUAGGAUUAAAGACACUGGGAAAGGAAGGACAAAGUUCUUAUCUGUACAAAAGCUAAGACAACCAACCAGUGACCUCAAAGCACCAUUGAUGACUCACACAGGGAAGAAACUUCACAUGUGUCGUGUGUGUGUGCAGUAUGGGCUUUAUCAGAGCAAUACAUUUAAAAAUAUAUAUAUAAAAAACACCUGAAAUUUCAGAGAGGAGAAAUUAUUCAGGUGUUCCAUGUGCAGUAAAUGUUUUAAACAAGCCUAAUAAGACAUUAGAGAAUUCACACAAGGGAGAAAGCAUAUCGUUGCAAAGAACUUACACUGUAAUUACAAACUAGACCAGGCAUAUGAGAAGUCUCACAGGGGAGAAAUACUUCAGUUGUCCCGUGUGCAAUAAAUGCUUCUCAGUUCCAAGCUCCGUAAAGAAUGCAUAUGAAGAGAGAUCACAUUGCACUGAAUGUGAUGAAUCCUUCAUAGCAGAGAGACACCUGGCCGUUCAUACAUAGAUUCACACAAGGGGGGGAAAAAAUACACAAGGUGUCCUGUGUGCAAUGAAUCCUAUUAUUAGCAGCUUGGAUAAGCAUCAGAGAAUGCACACAGAGACAAACCAUAUCAGUGUAAAGAAAGUGGCAAAUCCUAUAGAUGUAUGAGAUUGCUGGUCGUUCAUACGAAGUAUCACACAGAGGAGAAAUCACACAAAUGUCCUGUGUGCAGUGAAUGCUAUUUCAGAGUCAGCGAUUUUUUUCAAAAGUCAUCUGAGAAUUCACACAGGUGGAAAAGACGUGGUAAAUCCUUCAAAGUGCGUAACCUAUUGCUCAAUCAAUCAACAUGUUAUUAGUCACAUUCGCCAAAUACAACAGGUUUACAGUGAAAUGCUUACUUACGAGCCCCUAACCAACAAUGCAGUUUUUAAAAAAUACGGAAAAGAAAAAGAGAUAAAAGUAACAAGUAAUUAAAGAGCAGCAGUAUAUAUAUAUAUAUAUAUAUAUAUAUAUAUAUAGGACAUUUGUGUGAUUUCUCCUCUGUGUGAUACUUCGUAUGAACGACCAGCAAUCUCAUACAUCUAUAGGAUUUGCCACUUUCUUGCUGGUUGCUGGUACAGAGUCGAUGUGCGGUGGCAGCAGUUAGUUGAAGAAUCACACAGGGGAAAAACAUGCUGCUGCAAUGAAUGUGGCAAAUUGGUUCAGAGGAAAAAGCAAGUCUUAACAGGGCAUAUGAGGAUUCACACAGGGGAGAGGCCCUAUAAGUGCCUUAUAUGGGAGAAAUCCUUAAUGUGUUCUAAUGUUCUAAAACUCUGCCGGUUAACUCACUCUAAAGAGAAGAUCUACUGCUGCCAUGAAUGUGGCAAAUGGUUCAAAACCGAGAAGUACCUGGACAGUCCUAUGACGACUCACACAGGAAAGAAGAAAUCGUACUGCUGCAUUGAAUGUGACAAGUGCUACAAAGUAAAGCAGAGUCUUUAACGGCGCACACGAGGACUCACACAGGGUCGAAAACAUUUUGCUGCCAUGAAUGUGGCAACGGAUACCACCUGGAUGUGCAUAUGAGGACUCACAAAGGAAAGAAACCACAUUGCAUGUAGUGAAUGUGGCAAACGCUACCAUGAAAAGGCAAGUCUAACAAAGCAUAUGAGGACUCACACAAGGGGAGUAAUCAGAUGUGUGAGAAAACGUCUUGUAUCAGUUUUUGAUCUAAGUCGCUGCAUUUUUUUGCUACAUCUGUGGCAAAUGCUCACAUGUGACCCCCCCCCCCACCAGAAAGAACAUGGACAUGAGAGAAGCACCACACACUGUCCAUGUGUUUUCUGGAGGGAUCCCAUCUUAUGUAGAGGCCAAAAAGAAACUGAAUGAACACCUAUUGAGUUGAUGGGCAGCGAGUAGCAUAAACACUUAUGUGAACAAUGCUUGGUGUAAAAGCUAUUCCCAAAGUUUAAAAAAGUGUGUAAACAGAGCAAUGGAGGGCACAUACCAAUCCACUGCAAUUUGUCAGUCAAAAGAGGGAAAAGCUCAUUAUUAUAUCUGAUACCUUUAAGAGACAAUUCCCCCCAGGUUACAACUCUUGUUUGAUUUUAGAUGUGACAAAUAGUUCAGGAUUUGGAAUUGUGGGAAGAGGUAGGGAAGUAUGGUACACAAAAACAUGUUGUUGUUUUUUGUCUGUACAUUGCCCAUUUUUUUGUAACUUUUCUCAAAAUGCACCUGUUUACAUUUCAGCCAUUAUGCUUUAUGUUGGUAUCAAUAAAAACACGUAAAUCCCA